CCGCGAAUCGCCCUUCGGGGUGCCCAGGCGCGAAAACUUUACAAUGCGGGAAACCGUGAUAAGGGAACUCCGAGUGCCCGUAAAAUCGGGCUGUCCACCAGUUUAAAUAACUGGUGAAGAAAGGGCCGGGCAAGACCGGUGCCAGCCGCCGCGGUAAUACCGGCGGCUCGAGUGGUGGCCACUAUUACUGGGCUUAAAGCGUUCGUAGCUGGUUUGUUAAGUCCCUGGGGAAAUCUUCCGGCUUAACCGGAAGGCGUCUCAGGGAUACUGGCAGACUAGGGACCGGGAGAGGUGAGGGGUACUCCAGGGGUAGGAGUGAAAUCCUGUAAUCCUUGGGGGACCACCUGUGGCGAAGGCGCCUCACCAGAACGGCUCCGACAGUGAGGGACGAAAGCUGGGGGAGCAAACCGGAUUAGAUACCCGGGUAGUCCCAGCCGUAAACGAUGCGCGUUAGGUGUAUCGGUGACCACGAGUCACCGAGGUGCCGAAGAGAAAUCGUGAAACGUGCCGCCUGGGAAGUACGGUCGCAAGGCUGAAACUUAAAGGAAUUGGCGGGGGAGCAC
rnacentral:rRNA from 1 species